AUACCGGGCCUUUUUGGGCUUGGUAAUUGGAAUGAGGGAGAGUUAAACGGACCAUCGAGUAUCCAUUGGAGGGCAAGUCUGGUGCCAGCAGCUGCGGUAAUACCAGCUCCAAUAGCGUAUAUUAAAGUUGUUGCAGUUAAAAAGCUCGUAGUUGGACUUGUGUGCGCUGUCCGCGGGUGGCCUGCGCCCAAAAGGGCGUUUCGGUUCGGCCCCGGUGGCGCCUUGAAAUCUGCAGCUGGGGGGACGUUGGCCUUAACUGGUCGGCGACCGCACGCCGGCUGCUCGGUUACUGUGAGAAAAUUAGAGUGUUCAAGGCAGGCAUUGGGUGCAAUUGAAUACAUUAGCAUGGAAUAAUAAAAUAUGGCUCCUGCCGUAUUUUGUUGGUUUUGACUGGUGGGAGUAAUGAUUGAUAGGGACGGUUGGGGGUGCUAGUAUUGAGCGGCCAGAGGUGAAGUUCAUGGAUUCGCUCAAGACUAACUUAUGCGAAAGCAUUCACCAAGGACGUCCUCUUUAAUCAAGAACGAAAGUUGGGGGAUCGAAGACGAUCAGAUACCGUCGUAGUCUCAACCAUAAACUAUGUCGACUUGGGAUCGGCGGUAGUUUUUUCAUUAAGACACUGUCGGGACCACGGGAGAAAUCAAAGUGUCUGGACUCUGGGGGAAGUAUGGUCGCAAGGCUGAAACUUGAAGGAAUUGACGGAAGGGCACCACCAGGAGUGGAGCCUGCGGCUUAAUUUGACACAACACGGGGAAACUUACCAGGUCCAGAGAUGUAGAGGAUUGACAGAUUGAAGCUCUUUCUUGAUCACUUCGGUGGUGGUGCAUGGCCGUUCUUAGUUGGUGGAGUGAUUUGUCUGGUUAAUUCCGUUAACUAACGAGACCUCAGCCUGCUAGUGUAGUCGGCUGGAUUGCCUUUGGCGAUCCGUGAUUUCGACUUCUUAGAGGGACAAUCGACGCGCAGUCGAUGGAAGUUUGAGGCAAUAACAGGUCUGUGAUGCCCUUAGAUGUUCUGGGCCGCACGCGCGCUACACUGCUGGGCUCAGCGAGUUUUACUUGGCCGAGAGGCCCGGUUAAUCUUGUGAAAUCCCAGCGUGCUUGGGCUCGCCUCCUGCAACUGGAGGCGCCAACGAGGAAUUCCUAGUAGACGCAGGUCAUCAACCUGCAUCGAUUACGUCCCUGCCCUUUGUACACACCGCCCGUCGUUCCAUAAGAGUGAGGCAUCCGGCGAAUUCUCGGGAGAGCCUGGGCGUGGCCAGCAAUGGUCUGCUCGGGUUUGAACUUGCAUAAACUUGG
rnacentral:rRNA from 1 species